GGAUCAUAUGAAGUUAUUGGUUCAUUUCCAAAACCUCUAUGCUUAUUGUUGUUAUUAUUUCAAUGCUGUGAGCUGCAUCUGCAGGGUGAUGCAAAAGAGGAAUUUCUUUUCCACCUUUUGACCCAACAUCGGGAACAUAAGCCCUUCCGAUUUCUGACCUGGUGGUCAAAGGUCAGUUCAGCUCAGUAUUACCAACCCUACAGGUCAACUUCGGUAGGCAUUUGACUUCUGUUGGGUCGGAAGGAGAAAGAGUGACUUCUGUCCCAAUCAGGUUGGAAGAACGCCCUUUGUUCACAGAAUGUAAGCAGUUUUCAGGCAAAGUUAGACUCACCAAAAAGCCACAGAGAAUUUUUCUGUGAUUAGAGAGAGCAUAACAGUUGUUCAGAAAUGGCACUCCUAAAAGUGAUUUUUGCACAAUCUACUUAUUGAGUGGUGCUGUGAAUCAAAUAUGUCAUAAUGAGAGGUUGAUAGUGAAUGCUGAGCUAUAACUUCUCUUAAUCUUUUACUUGUUUGAUGUCUUUGAUACUGUUGGUGGUGUGAGACUAUAUAGGCCUCUAAAUUGCUGUCAAAUCAGUAGAAACUGAGCCUUUUACUGCUAA